AUUGAACGCUGGCGGCAGGCCUAACACAUGCAAGUCGAGCGGAAACGAGUUAUCUGAACCUUCGGGGAACGAUAACGGCGUCGAGCGGCGGACGGGUGAGUAAUGCCUAGGAAAUUGCCCUGAUGUGGGGGAUAACCAUUGGAAACGAUGGCUAAUACCGCAUGAUGCCUACGGGCCAAAGAGGGGGACCUUCGGGCCUCUCGCGUCAGGAUAUGCCUAGGUGGGAUUAGCUAGUUGGUGAGGUAAGGGCUCACCAAGGCGACGAUCCCUAGCUGGUCUGAGAGGAUGAUCAGCCACACUGGAACUGAGACACGGUCCAGACUCCUACGGGAGGCAGCAGUGGGGAAUAUUGCACAAUGGGCGCAAGCCUGAUGCAGCCAUGCCGCGUGUAUGAAGAAGGCCUUCGGGUUGUAAAGUACUUUCAGUCGUGAGGAAGGCGGCGUCGUUAAUAGCGGCGUUGUUUGACGUUAGCGACAGAAGAAGCACCGGCUAACUCCGUGCCAGCAGCCGCGGUAAUACGGAGGGUGCGAGCGUUAAUCGGAAUUACUGGGCGUAAAGCGCAUGCAGGUGGUUUGUUAAGUCAGAUGUGAAAGCCCGGGGCUCAACCUCGGAAUAGCAUUUGAAACUGGCAGACUAGAGUACUGUAGAGGGGGGUAGAAAUUUCAGGUGUAGCGGUGAAAUGCGUAGAGAUCUGAAGGAAUACCGGUGGCGAAGGCGGCCCCCUGGACAGAUUCUGACACUCAUAUGCGAAAGCGUGGGAGCUAACAGG
rnacentral:rRNA from 1 species